rnacentral:misc_RNA from 1 species
GAUGAAGAACGCAGCGAAAUGUGAUACUUGGUGUGAAUUGCAGAAUCCCGUGAACCAUCGAGUCUUUGAACGCAAGUUGCGCCCGAAGCCAUUAGGCCGAGGGCACGCCUGCCUGGGCGUCACACGUCGUUGCCCCCCCAUCUACUCCUUCGGGAUUGCGGGGGGCGGAUGAUGGCCUCUCGUGCGCCUCGUCGCGCGGUUGGCCUAAAUGCCAAGUCCUCGGCGACGCACGCCACGACAAUCGGUGGUUGCGAAACCUCGGUUGCCUGUCGUGUGCGGUCGUCGCGCAUCGAGGGCUCGAAAAAAUUGCCGGGCUUCGGCUCGACUUUCAACGCGACCCCAGGUCAGGCGGGGUUACCCGCUGAAUUUAAGCAUAUCAAUAAGCGGAGGA